rnacentral:rRNA from 1 species
GAGAGUAACGCGUAGUUAUCUACCCCGCCGGUCCGGAAUAGCUGUGGGAAACCGCAGGUAAUACCGGAUAACAUCUGUUUCCUUCAAAAGAAGUGGAUCAAAGGUGUGAUUCCGCCCUGGGAGGAGACUGCGUUGUACUAGCUUGUUGGUAGGGUAAUGGCCUACCAAGGCGAUGAUGCAUAGCGGGCGUGAGAGCGUGGCCCGUCUCACUGGGACUGAGACACUGCCCAGACACCUACGGGUGGCUGCAGUCGAGAAUCUUCGGCAAUGGGCGAAAGCCUGACCGAGCAAUGCCGCGUGCGGGAUGAAGGCCCUCGGGUUGUAAACCGCUGUCAGUUGGGAGGAAAUCACUUGGGGCUAUCCCCUCGUGUUGACCUAUCUUCAGAGGAAGGACGGGCUAAGUUCGUGCCAGCAACCCGCGGUAACACGAACCGUCCAAACGUUAUUCGGAAUUAUUGGGCUUAAAAGGGUGCGUAGGCGGCGCGGUAAGUGAGGUGUGAAAAUCCCUCGGCU